rnacentral:rRNA from 1 species
AGCCUUAGGAAUAUUGAUCUAAGGUUAAACCUGCCCAAUGUGUAACUUAUGAAAAUAAAUUAUUAAUGGCCGCGGUACUUUGACCGUGCUAAGGUAGCGCAAUCAAUUGGCUUUUAAAUGGAGUCAGGUAUGAAUGGAAUUACGGAGUUUAGCUGUCUCUAAACUGUUUUAUAGAAAUUACUUUAUAGGUGAAAAAGCCUAUACAAAGAUAAAGGACGAGAAGACCCUUAGAGUUUUAUUUAAUAUAAAUUAUUUAUUUACAAUGAUUUAGUUGGGGCAACAUAAGAACAGAUAGUAUAUAACUUCUUGGAAUUUACAUAUCGAUUUUUAUAAGUUUGAAUAAACUACCUUAGGGAUAACAGCAUAAUUUAAAAUAUAAGUUUGUGACCUCGAUGUUGGACUAGGAAACUAAUGGGCUAGCCGCUUUUUAGAAAGGUUCUGUUCGAACUAAAAAUCCU